UACGUAGGGUGCGAGCGUUGUCCGGAAUUAUUGGGCGUAAAGGGCUCGUAGGCGGUCUGUCGCGUCAGGAGUGAAAACUCGGGGCUUAACCCCGAGCCUGCUUCUGAUACGGGCAGACUAGAGGUAUGCAGGGGAGAACGGAAUUCCUGGUGUAGCGGUGAAAUGCGCAGAUAUCUGGAGGAACACCGGUGGCGAAGGCGGCAUCCUGGACCGACACUGACGCUGAGGCGCGAAAGCUAGGGUAGCAAACGGG
rnacentral:rRNA from 1 species